UACGUAGGGGGGCUAGCGUUGUCCGGAAUCAUUGGGCGUAAAGAGCGUGUAGCGGCCCGGUAAGUCCGCUGUAAAAGUCAAAGGCUCAACCUUUGAAUGUCAGUGGAUACUGCCGGGCUAGAGUCCGGAAGAGGCGAGUGGAACUCCUGGUGUAGCGGUGGAAUGCGCAGAUAUCAGGAAGAACACCAACGGCGAAGGCAGCUCGCUGGGACGGUACUGACGCUGAGACGCGAAAAGCGUGGGGAGCAACAGGA
rnacentral:rRNA from 1 species